CUUAAGUGCCAGACAGUUCCCUGAGCAGCAGUCCCUAUGAGAAUCACACCAAGCGACAGCAGUGUCCAGCAAACUGCUGGAUCAGAGUUCAGCACAGCAUCAGCUCUGGGCUCCGUAGGGAUAUCCUUUUAUCCCUGCGUGAGGCUCGUCUUCUUUCUGUGAGACUCUAGUAGCUUCAGCCACCUCCAGGAGGAAAAACACAAUACUCCAGGAGUGUAUUUAUUAAGUUCAAUAAAGCUAAUUAAGAAAAACAGCCCAGAAAAUAAUACAGUUUUCAGUUCCAU
ensembl:lncRNA